rnacentral:rRNA from 1 species
AACGAACGCUGGCGGCAGGCUUCAUACAUGCAAGUCGAACGAUUAAAGCUCCUUCGGGAGUGUAUAGAGUGGCGAACGGGUGAGUAACAGGUGGAUAAUCUGCCUUUUGGUGUGGGAUACCGGCUGGAAACGGCCGCUAAUACCGCAUGUGUCAUGAGGCCUUCGGUCCUUAUGAAGAAAGGCGCUGCAAGGCGUCACCAAGAGAUGAGUCCGCCCCCCAUUAGCUAGUUGGUGUGAUAAUAGCGCACCAAGGCUGUGAUGGGUAGCCGAGCUGAGAGGUUGAUCGGCCACACUGGGACUGAGACACGGCCCAGACACCUACGGGUGGCAGCAGUAGGGAAUAUUGGACAAUGGGCGCAAGCCUGAUCCAGCCAUGCCGCGUGAGUGAUGAAGGCCUUCGGGUCGUAAAGCUCUUUUCUGAGGGAAGAACUGCCAUGGGAGGUAAUGCCCAAGUUGACGGUACCUCAGGAAUAAGGACGGCUAACUCCGUGCCAGCAGCCGCGGUAAUACGGAGGUUCCUAGCGUUGUUCGGAAUUACUGGGCGUAAAGGGAGCGCAGGCGGAUUGAUAAGUCUAAAGUGGAAUCCCGGGGCUCAACCUCGGACGUGCUUUGGAUACUGUCAGUCUUGAGUUCGUGAGAGGAAGGCGGAAUUCAGGGUGUAGCGGUGAAAUGCUUAGAUAUCCUGAGGAACACCAGUGGCGAAAGCGGCCUUCUGGCACGAAACUGACGCUGAGGCUCGAAAGCGUGGGUAGCGAACGGGAUUAGAUACCCCGGUAGUCCACGCCGUAAACGUUGUGCACUAGGUGCGGGGGGUAUCGACCCCUUCCGUGCCGCAGCUAACGCAUUAAGUGCACCGCCUGGGGAGUACGGUCGCAAGACUGAAACUCAAAGGAAUUGACGG